UUACCAACACUUCGUGUAUUAAAUGUAUUAGUUUGGGGUGUAUGGGGGUACGUAUUUGUUUGUCAACGUUUGAUCAAAUUCAACGGAAGACUUAGACAAGACGACGAUGUUGCAGUGUAACUUGCAGAUCUAUGCAGGAGGCCUAGCUGUCUAGGAACCCUAGGCUCUAUCUACAUGUAGUACAGUAGUAGCCAUAGUGGGACAUGAAAAGAACGUGUUAGACUCGGUGAAACCUACCAAAUAGGUGCUGUGAUGGUAUACAUAUAUGACCUGCUUUGGUCUGAAUGGUUUGCUAUUAAACUAUGGACAGGACAGUGGUAUCAUCUGACUCAUUCUGACCAUGCUGAUUAUGUCAAAGCUGUGGAAUAUUUCUACAUAAAUGAUCGUCGUACUCAUCAAAGACACAACAGAAUGCAAUAUAUGCGACCAAAAAUGACCAAGACAAAAGAAAAAUGUUAUAUGGGGAUAUAGGAAGUGGAUCAUCCAUUUUCUGUGCCUUUCCCUCGAGGUCUUCAGACAGUGUCUCUAUACAUCAUUAACCAUGUUGAUUAGCUCUCAUGAUGUCAUGCCAUUACUGUCAGAUUACCUAU